UCUUCCUCUCAUUUUACUAACUUUCGGGGGUUGCUUCUUUUCUUCGUUUUAUUUUGAAUGGAACCCUGGUUGGAAAAACACGGGACAGACUACUUCUUAGUAGGAUUAACUGCCCUCAAAAGUUGCGCCCGUCAUUUUUCAAACAAAUUUU
ensembl:ncRNA T01C2.5 ncRNA